rnacentral:rRNA from 1 species
CGGGUUGUAAAGCACUUUCAGUAGGGAGGAAGGUAGUGUAGUUAACACCUGCACUAUUUGACGUUACCUACAGAAGAAGCACCGGCUAACUCCGUGCCAGCAGCCGCGGUAAUACGGAGGGUGCGAGCGUUAAUCGGAAUUACUGGGCGUAAAGCGCAUGCAGGCGGCCUGUUAAGUCAGAUGUGAAAGCCCGGGGCGUUAACCUCGGAAUUGCAUUUGAAACUGGCAGGCUAGAGUCUUGUAGAGGGGGGUAGGAAGUUUCAGGUGUAGCGGUGAAAUGCGUAGAGAUCUGAAGGAAUACCAGUGGCGAAGGCGGCCCCCUCGGACAAAGACUGACGCUCAGAUGCGAAAGCGUGGGGAGCAAACAGGAUUAGAUACCCUGGUAG